CGGAGGGGAGACUACACCGCACAGAGAUCAAUCAGACACGUCCCACGCGAUAUCUGCAGCUUCAAUCCCAGCAGAAUCCUCGCUACAAGGCCACUGAGUUUGGUGGAGUAAGCUGUCUUGGCAUGCCAUCUGACCUUACCACAGGAAGACUGUGCUGGAGUGAGCGGUAGAGACAUGAUCCGACUGUUCAAUGUCAAUUGAAAGGUUCCUGUAAAAAUCUACAGCUAAAAAGGUGUAUUUCCUAAAGACAGAGGAGUGAGAGCCAGGACUCACGCUAUGAUAUCAACUGACAAUGAAAGUAAUAUUUCAAACCUCAAAACUAUGACAAGGGCCUUGCAUGUCAUCUUUACGUAAGUGAACAGGAUGCAUGCAAAGCAUACAGAUAUGCUGAACUCAAUCGAAAAGUGAGUGAAGUGUAAUGUUUGACAUGAAUAAAGGUCUCCUGAAGAGGGCAGUA